rnacentral:lncRNA from 1 species
UUUCUGGCUUCUCUAUUCUGUUCCAUUGGCCUAGGUGUCUGUUUUUGCACCAGUACCAUGCUGUUUUGGUUACUGUAGCCCUUUAGUAUAGUUUUAAGUUGGGUAUGUAGCCAUUUGUAUAUCUUCUUUUGAGAAUUGUCUAUUCAUGUCCUUAGCCCACUUUUUGAUGGGAUACUUUGUUUUUUUCUUAUUGAUUUGUUUGAGUUCGUCAUAGAUAUUAGGUGUUAGUCCUUUGUCAGAUGUAUGGAUU